rnacentral:rRNA from 1 species
GACGAACGCUGGCGGCGUGCUUAACACAUGCAAGUCGAACGAAGUGGCGAACGGGUGAGUAACGCGUAAUCAACCUGCCCUUCAGAGGGGGACACCAGUUGGAACCGACUGCUAUUACCGCAUACGGAAGGAGGGGAUUGCGUCGGAUUAGCUAGUUGGGGGGGUAACGGCCCACCAAGGCGAUGAUCAGUAGCCGGGCUGGGGGGAUGAACGGGCACAUUGGGACUGAGACACGGGCCAGACCUCUAAGGGGGGCAGCAGUGGGGAAACUUCCGCAAUGGAGGAAAGUCUGAAGGAGCAAAGCCGGGGGAGUGAUGACGGCCUUCGGGUUGGAAAGGUCUGUUAAUCGGGACGCGGUACCGGAAGAGAAAGCAACGGCUAACUACGUGCCAGCAGCCGCGGUAAUAC